rnacentral:rRNA from 1 species
CCUACGGGGCGCAGCAGUGGGGAAUAUUGCACAAUGGGCGCAAGCCUGAUGCAGCCAUGCCGCGUGUAUGAAGAAGGCCUUCGGGUUGUAAAGUACUUUCAGCGGGGAGGAAGGCGAUAAGGUUAAUAACCUUGUCGAUUGACGUUACCCGCAGAAGAAGCACCGGCUAACUCCGUGCCAGCAGCCGCGGUAAUACGGAGGGUGCAAGCGUUAAUCGGAAUUACUGGGCGUAAAGCGCACGCAGGCGGUCUGUCAAGUCGGAUGUGAAAUCCCCGGGCUCAACCUGGGAACUGCAUUCGAAACCGGCAGGCUAGAGUCUUGUAGAGGGGGGUAGAACUCCAGGUGUAGCGGUGAAAUGCGUAGAGAUCUGGAGGAAUACCGGUGGCGAAGGCGGCCCCCUGGACAAAGACUGACGCUCAGGUGCGAAAGCGUGGGGAGCAAACAGGAUUAGAUACCCGCGU